UGAAGAAUUUGGAAGAGCAAGUGCCCCACUUCUACGUAUUCAUCUCUUUCCACUGAUGUGCGGUGCUCCCUCUGUAAUAAAUCAAGUGUCAGUGGACCCAACGAUGGGUGCCUGAAGUAGCUAUAUCUCUUUACUGAGCUACAACUUGGAUCAGACAAAAAUGGACCGUCCUUGAUGAUGUUCAGAAGCAAAGAAAGCUUUGAGGAGAAAGAUAUGGUUCUUAAGUCCUAAAGGGGCAAGCCCAUACCCAGAGGAGAUUCCUAGUGACAGAGCCCUGUGAGUAUUCCUGUAGAAGUCUGUGUCCACCAGGCUUCCUUGUUUUUAUUACAAGAUAUGAGUCGUUGGAGGAAACAAACUAAGAUCGAAAAGCCUCGUGAUAAUUAGGAACCUGAGUGGCAGAGGAGAGUGGCAGAUGCUGACAGGGAAGAUGCAGGUUAUAGAGGAAAUUCACCCAAUCCAAGGGCAUGCAGACCUGGCUGACGCGACUCUUUGGGCUUCAGAUUUACUGUUCAGUCCUGAUAGGAUCCUUGAGCAGUCACGAAUCCUACUUUACUAGCAACAACUGAGAGCAAAGGGCACACAGUCACAGAAACACUGCAGGGUGGAGAGGCUGGAAUAGCAUACAGGACAUUCACAAGCGGUUAUGGAAGAAAAAUGGCAGGGUCUCUGAGAGCAAGUUGCAAGAUUUUCAGACCUUCACUGAAUCUUCUACUGACAUUUAGCUUAAUCUUGACAAGCAUAUCGGAGUACUGCAAUGUGUUAAUGAUCAAGGAAUAUGUUAAAUAAUGACAUGUCUACUGCAGGAAAUUAUGGGAUAAUGCAAACAGCGUGCACUGGAUCAACCAUUAUCUAUGCCUAGUACUUAGUACUAUGACUAAAAGUGACUGCUUUUGGCAUCAAAAAUUGAAGCAUUCCUCUGGCUCAACUUGUUCUUUGCACAUCUUCCUUUACUGUGACAAGCACUGAGAGUUAAGUUGCUGUCUUCAAUACAGUCUGUUGAUUAUUAAUUUCAGAUACAACAUAUGCUUAAGAUGGCUCCCUGAAGUUGUUCUGCCUGGCAUCUGGGACUUGCUCAAUAUGCCAGUUUGUGAGCAUGAUUCGAUGUUUAAUAUUUAUUCAAUGUUUAAUUUUAUCAAAUAUUUUUGCAGCGUCCCCUCUGUUUAGUAGUCUAGUCACUACAUCUAUACAUAUUAGAUGUCAAUGACAGUCUACUUUUCUUUUCUCUCCAAAACUGUUUUACAUUAUCCCAAACAAAUAACAUCUUCUUGUGGAUCUUCCUCAUAUGUAAAAAUGGAGAUUUUAAAAAUUGGCAAAUAAAACUUCUACCUUCAGAAUUCUUCCUUUAUUUCAAACCCAAUUAAAAAGUUAUGAAUUUCUAUAAAAAUGUCAACCAUUGCAUUGAUGUCUUCCAUUCAUUUCUUGUAAGAAGCUAUUGUCAAAAUCAUGUACAAGUGGCUUUUUGGCCAUUCUUUGGAAACAUGUCUGGUCAGAUCCUUUGCCCAUUUUUAAAUAGGAUUAUUUGUCAUUUUAUUAUUGAGUUUUUAAAGUUCUCUAUAUAUUCUGGAUACAAUAACUUAUCAGAUAUAUGAUUUGCAAAUGUUUUCUCCCAAUCUUUGGAUUGUCUUUUCACUUUCAUGAUGGUAUCCUUGGAACUACAAAAGUUUUUAAUUUGAUGAUGUCCAAUUUACCUAUUUUUUCUUUUGUUUCUUGUGCUUUUGGUGUUCUAUCUAAGGAUAUUUGCCUAACCCAAGUUCAUGAAGAUUUUUUCCUAUGUUUCCUCUAAGAGUUUUAUAGUUUUAUCUAUUAAAUUUUAGUCUCUGAUCAAUUUUGAGUUAUUUUUUUUUAUGUGAUAUGAGAAAGGGGUCCAAUUUCAUUCUUUUGCGUGCGGAUAUCUAGUUUUAUCAACGCUAUUUGUUGAAAAGACUAUUCUUUCCCUAUUGAACAAUCUGAGCUUCCUUGUUCAAAAUCAAUUGACUAUAAAUGUAAAGGUUGAUUUCUGGACUCUUAAUUGCAUCCCGUUGAUCUAUGUGUCUAUCUUCAUGCCAGAACCACUCUGUAAUGAUUACUGAAGCUUUGAAGUAAGUUUUGACAUAGAGGAGUGUGAGUCCUCCACAUUUGUAUUUCAUUCACAACAUUGCUGUGGCUGUCAUGUGUCUCUUGCAUUUCUGUAUGCAUCUUAUGAUCAGCUUAGCAAUUUCUACCAAAAAAGCAGCUGUGAUUUUGAUAGGGAUUGUGGUGGAUCUGUAGAUCAAUUUGGGAAGUAUUGCUAUCUUAACAAUAUUGUCUUCCAAUGCAUGAACAUGGAUAUCUUUCCAUUUAUUUAGUCCUUCUUUAAUUUUUUUCAAGUAUGCUUUGUAGCUUUCAGAGUAUAGAUUUUACCCUUUGUGAAUAAUUCAUUUCUAAGUAUUUUAUUUUUUUGAUGCUAUUAUAAAUGGACUUGUCUUAAUUUCAUAUUUGAAGUCCUCAUUGCUAGAGUAUAGAAAUAUAAUUUUUGUAUAUUGACCACGUACCCUGCAGUCUGAAUGAACUUGUUUAUUAGCUCUAAUAAUGUUUUAAUGAGGUUGUUAGGAUUUUCUUAUACAGUCAGGUCUUGCUUAAGAACAGGGAUACAUUCUGAGAAAUGCGUUGUUAGGCGAUUUCGUCAUUGCAAGAACAUCAUAGCGUACUCACACAGACCUAGCCUACUGAAUACCCAGGCUAUACAGCACUAAUCUUAUGGGACCACUGUCCUAUACGUGGCCCGUCUUUGUUUGUUUUGUUUUUUUUUUUAUAAUUUUAUUUAUUUAUUUUUCUCCCAAAGCCCCAGCAGAUAGUUGUGUGUCAUAGCUGCACAUCCUUCUAGUUGCUGUAUGUGGGACGUGGCCUCAGCAUGGCCGGAGAAGCAGUGCGUCGGUGCGCGCCCGGGAU